GACCAUUUGUCAGAAUGUGGAGAACACAGCUGAAGGCUGGCAGCUGAUGGACAGCCUAAGGCUCUAGUGUGGGAUUUAACCAAACUUCUGACUCAGGGGUUGAGCUAUGAACAUCUAGGAAAAACAAUGGACUGUAGUGAAAUCUGAGAUCCUAAGGAGUCCGUGCCACCGCCCUCGACGCCGGCACACACCAUGGUGGGCAACACGCGACCUGGGUAGUCCUUGUUGCAAGACGCUUCUGAGAUAAUGCUGAUGUUGGCACAAUGCAACGUAUCAGGGAGUCUCACUGAGGAGGACAGAUGGCUUUUAGUAUAUUCAAUUCCUUUGGUUCUUGUUCCCUCCAUUCAAGAAUCCCUGGGGACAACAUUGCUGGAAUUUCUACAUCCAGCUCCAUCCUUCCACUCACCUUGUGACUUUUGGCUCCCUGUGGCUCCAGGGUUGUUGUCUGAUAACAGACCCCAGCCUGACACCACGCAGUCCUCGCCGAUAAGGGGGCAACGUGUGGGCAGCGCCACAGGACGCACGUAGGCUGUCAGCCGCGCAGGUUGGAAAAGUCGCAACAGCAUGAUGUCAUGGCGGUGGGUGCGAGCCUCGUAGCCCGGAUGUGGGAUGAUGCGAGAGACAGAGCGCAGUUGCUCUGGGCCAUCGAACUUGCGGAGAUUGUGCUCGCCCAGACGCACUCUCAUGAAGCUGUGUGAUCGAGUAGGAGGAGACAAAGUGGUCAGAGAGGAUAACCUGGGGUCUUCGGAGAACUUUCUCCUUUUCUCGAGUCCUUGAAGCCAGUGGUUCCAACCGUGACCUCUCCAGAGCCCAGGAGUUGCAGGGUGUGAUGGUUCAUGCCUUUAACCCCAACACUUGGGAGGCAGAGGCAGGUGGACUUCUCUAAGUUGUGGACCAGCCUGGUCUACACAGUGAGUUCUAGAGUAAACUGGGUUACACAGUGAGUCUCAAAACAAACAAAAAACAAACUAACAAACU
rnacentral:lncRNA from 1 species